rnacentral:rRNA from 1 species
AGAGUUUGAUCAUGGCUCAGAUUGAACGCUGGCGGCAUGCCUUACACAUGCAAGUCGAACGGCAGCACGGGGGCAACCCUGGUGGCGAGUGGCGAACGGGUGAGUAAUGCAUCGGAACGUGCCCAGUAGUGGGGGAUAGGCCGGCGAAAGCCGGGUUAAUACCGCAUACGACCUAAGGGUGAAAGCGGGGGACCGUAAAAGGCCUCGCGCUAUUGGAGCGGCCGAUGUCUGAUUAGCUAGUUGGUGAGGUAAAGGCUCACCAAGGCGACGAUCAGUAGCUGGUCUGAGAGGACGACCAGCCACACUGGGACUGAGACACGGCCCAGACUCCUACGGGAGGCAGCAGUGGGGAAUUUUGGACAAUGGGCGCAAGCCUGAUCCAGCCAUGCCGCGUGCGGGAAGAAGGCCUUCGGGUUGUAAACCGCUUUUGGCAGGAACGAAACGGCGCGGGCGAAUAUCCCGCGCUAAUGACGGUACCUGCAGAAUAAGCACCGGCUAACUACGUGCCAGCCGCCGCGGUAAUUC